GAUGUUGCAACCUCUGGUACAGUC
rnacentral:siRNA from 1 species